rnacentral:tRNA from 2 species
GGAAAGGUAUCGAAGCGGUCAUAACGAGGCGGUCUUGAAAACCGUUUGGGGGCAACUCCACAUGGGUUCGAAUCCCAUCCUUUCCG